rnacentral:tRNA from 1 species
GGAAGGGUGUCCGAGUGGUCUAAGGAACCGGUCUUGAAAACCGGCGUGCCUGCAAGGGUACCGUGGGUUCGAAUCCCACCCCUUCCGCCA